rnacentral:rRNA from 1 species
UAAAACGUAGGUGGCGAGCGUUAUCCGGAUUUAUUGGGCGUAAAGAGGGCGCAGGCGGCUUUUCAAGUCGGAUGUAAAAUCUCCCGGCUUAACUGGGAGGGAUCGUUCGAUACUGCUAAGCUAGAGUGCAACAGGGGGAGGUAGAAUUCCCGGUGUAGUGGUGAAAUGCGUAGAUAUCGGGAGGAAUACCAGUGGCGAAGGCGGCCUCCUGGGUUGUUACUGACGCUUAAGCCCGAAGGCGUGGGGAGCAAACAGGAUUAGAUACCCUGGUAGUCCACGCUGUAAACUAUGGACACUAGGCAUAGGGAGUAUCGACCCUCUCUGUGCCGAAGCUAACGCGUUAAGUGUCCCGUCUGGGAACUACGGCCGCAAGGUUA